UACGGAGGGUGCAAGCGUUAUCCGGAUUUACUGGGUUUAAAGGGUGUGUAGGCGGGCCAUUAAGUCAGGGGUGAAAUCCCGGAGCUCAACUCCGGAACUGCCUUUGAUACUAUUGGUCUUGAAUAUUGUUGAGGUGGGCGGAACGGGUCAUGUAGCGGUGAAAUGCAUAGAUAUGACCCGGAACACCGAUUGCGAAGGCAGCCCGCUAAGCAAUGAUUGACGCUGAGGCACGAAAGCGUGGGGAUCAAACAGG
rnacentral:rRNA from 1 species